rnacentral:miRNA from 11 species
UACUGCAUCAGGAACUGAUUGG